UAAUGUUACAUUUGCCUAUAACAUUACUUGACUGCCUCUCUAUACUGUUUCCAAAGGUUCUGUGGACAGCCCUGCUCGGGACCAUAACUCCAUGCAUCCAUAUGGCCUCCAUGCCUACCAUGGCGUCCAGUUCUGGGGCACCCAGUCACUCUCUGUUGAACAAAGGAAUGGACAGGGAAGAGAACUAUGGCCUCAAGAAGAUCCAGACCAUCAGUUCUGACCAUCAUCCAGACCAUCAGUUCCUCCCAGUAGAACUCCCUCCCAACCUGGCUCUCCAGAACACCCACCCCAGCUUCCCAGAAGUCUUGCGACGCUUCACAUCCCCAUACUCUGGACGUUUGUUGGGCACAGCUGAGCACAGUGAACAAGCUAGAUGGAGGGAAAGUAAGGUGUCUUCUGAAAUCAGACAGCCAAGGUUGGUUGGUUGGUCAGUUUGUUUUAGAGAAGGAGAAAACUUUAUUGUGUGUAUAUAAAGGGUGAUUUCAGUUGUCCUCUGAAGGGCACCCUGACUUUCAGCAUGAGACCAGGCUGCAUCACUUACAAACUGUGUGACCUUGGGCAGAAUCUCAGUUUCUUUUUAUCCUGGUUGUAAAGAAUUUAGUUGUUAUUAAUAUUGGCUUCAAGGUCACAGAACCUCUCUUCACAGUCUAUUUUUUCCUUCACUCCCCAGUGAGGAUUCUUCACCCCACCGCCCAAGUCUGGCCCUGACAUGCCUCUACUAGAGUUUGUCGGUGGGUCUCUCAACUCUGCCUCCCGUGGUCCCCAUUCCCUACUGGGUGGAAUUCCUGCCUGCGCCCACCCUGCCCUCUUCUGUUAUCGACAACAGCAGUUUUAGUCAUCUGACUUUGGUUGAUUGGUGUUCAGUUAGCACAGGAUUGAGAUCAGAGGGUAUACAUAUUAGUUAGAGAGACUAAUCACAAACUCGGUGAGUGAGCGCAGUGUUAGGGGCACUUGGUUUCCUCCCAGCUGUGUGGCCUUGGGCAAGCAACUUGACCUCUGUGGGAACCCACUGAAUGCACUGGUCCUCACCGUGCAAUCAUGAUAGGUGGUGAGUGCCCCAAAUAGGAUGUCUGGGCCAGGUCAGUACUCGGUUAUUCUUGCUCUUUUCUCUGCACAGAAGGGAGUAAAAUCCUUUCCUCAAGCAUCAUUCAGACUGUGGCCUCAGACACCUGCCUGCUUCCCACUUAUCCCACACAGGAGGCCAAAUAUAACUCCUGACACAUCCUUUUGCCUUAAAGCAAGAGGCUUGUCUUGGCUCCACUGCUCUUAUCUCUACAGGCACCUGGUUCAGUCUCUGCCAGCCAGCUAAGUCUGUUUGGCUAUCUCUCACCCACCUUCCUGUCAUAACACGUGCUUGAAAUGCCCUUCCUGUCCUCUUUCCAAAACCAGGCCCCACCUUCUUGGAAGCAGAUUUAAGAAUCACUUCCUCCCUUAAGUCUGCUUGACUCAAACCUCCCAGUUUCAGGAUUGCUAAUCAUGAAAAAAUAUUUCAUGCCUACUGCAGCCUUCCUCCACCCCGUCUCCUCCACCCUUUGCGACUAUGACGUAAUAAGAUUGCACCUGUCACAUCUGUACCUGUGGGCACCUGUCUUCCCAGAUAUCUGGUUGUACAUGUGAGUGGUUACAGAGUAGGAGGCAAGAAUAUACAGUGACCAAAAACUCAACCAACAAAACAAAAAAGUAGCUGGUGAGGUGGAGAGAGGACUGGGCCAGAUCAGAACUAUGUCCAUUUGACCACUUACUACAUGGGUGACACUUAGCAAGUUACUUAGCCUUUCUCUUUGAGCCUCUAUCUCCUGGCAUAUUUGUUAAGAAAAUCAGAAAAUUACUAGGACUUCCCUGGUGGUCCAGUGGUUAAGAAUCUGCCUGCCAAUGCAGGGGACAUGGGUUUGAUCCCUGGUCAGGGAACUCCAGCGUUCUUGCCUGGAGAAUCCCAGGGACCGGGGAGCCUGGUGGGCUGCCGUCUAUGGGGUCGCACAGAGUCGGACACAACUGAAGUGACUUAGCAGCAGCAGCAGCAGCGGCAGGAAACUAAGAUAGCACAUGUUGUGGGGCAACUAAGCCCGCAUGCCACUAGUAGAGAGAAGUCCCCACACGCUGCGAUGAACACCCAGCCCAGCCAAAAAGAAAAAAGUACUACUAUUAUUAUUUACCUUACCCAGUACUGUCCUUGCUCAGUACUGUUCAGACUCUGUCCUAAACACUUUACAUAGACUUUUACAUUUAAUUUUCACUCAACACUAGCAGGUAGGUAACAUUAUUUUCCCUAUGCUUCAGUUGAAAAUACUGAGACACAGUAGAAACUCAACACAGAUAUUAAGUACCUUGCCCAGGUCACAUAGCUAAACAAUGGCAAAGCCAGAAUUUGCACCUAGGCAGUUGGAUCCCAGAGUCCAUGUUCCUAAGCACUCUCCUUACUGCCUCCCACAUGUAAUCCUGUGUGUGUGCAAAGCCCUUGACACAGUGCUUGUCACUUCAGUCCCAGUGAGGAAGGUGACUGCAAGUGUAGGAGGCCAGGGCAAGUGUCUCUUUCCCUGAAGCAUGUCAGGACAGAAUAGAGAGCGGACACUUUACACGCAUUUCCAGGGCCUAAGAAAGGUGGGGAAGAAAUAUAAAGAAUUUAAAGCCAUAUUUUCCUACCCAGAUGUGUCUUAUAAACACACAUAUGCCACAUGGACACACACUUCUCACAAAUACAUCACACUCACACAUACACAAUCAGUGGCCACUCUGAACCCAUGAAACUUCCAUCAGGAAACCUUCCUGAGCUGGUCCAGGCCUCACAAUCUCUCAGAUCCCUAAAUGUGUACAGCACUGACCAUUAGGCCCAGCCAAGCCAGCCCUCACUAUGUAGUGUUCUAUUCAUUCAAAUAACUAUGCAAUAACUACUGAAAAUCGGGACCAAGUAUUGGAGAAGGAGGACCAAAAAAAAUGUUGUUUCUGUCCUCCAGGAACUUUGAAUCUCCUAGGAGAAUCUAGCAUACACAUCAAGACGUCACAGUAGGACAAAGGAAUAAGUGUUGUCAGUGACAGACAGGUAUUUUGGAAAGCUUCCUAGAGGUGACACUUGAGUUAAAUUUUAAAGGUGAACAGGAGUUAUUCUGGCAAAGGAAGAGGUGUGGAGGAAGGAGAGUAAGGAAGAGGGAACAGGUUAACAAGCUUGGGAAACCCCAAGUCGUUCUAUCAGCUGAAAUGAAGAGUUUCUCAUAGAGGCAGAACAUGAGGCCAUAGGGAUAAGCAGGGCCCAAAUGCCAAAAAGCCUGAUGUGCUGACCUGAGAGAUUCAGAGUCUUUCCCAAAAAGCGUCAUGGAAGGGUUUUUGGCAGAGAAACAUCACAAUCGAAUCUGCAUUUCAGAAAGGUUGACUCAGCAACACAGAGAUAAAGGGGUGACAGGGUGAAAAUGAGGGGACAUUGAAAAGACUUUCAACUAUCUCUGGAAUAAAUGAACUGAAAUUCUUAUCA
rnacentral:lncRNA from 1 species